rnacentral:rRNA from 1 species
CCCUUAGACGUUCUGGGCCGCACGCGCGCUACACUGACCAGUGCAACAAGCAUCCGUCCUUGGCCGACAGGCCCGGGCAAUCUUUGAACGCUGGUCGUGAUGGGGAUAGACUUUUGCAAUUUUUGGUCUUCAACGAGGAAUUCCUAGUAAACGCAAGUCAUCAACUUGCAUUGACUACGUCCCUGCCCUUUGUACACACCGCCCGUCGCACCUACCGAUUGAAUGGUCCGGUGAAGCCUCCGGAUUGGCGCGCACCUCGGUGCCGCCGAGAAGUUGGCUAAACCUUACCAUUUAGAGGAAGGUGAANUCGUAACA